rnacentral:rRNA from 1 species
GACGAACGCUGGCGGCGUGCCUAAUACAUGCAAGUUGAGCGCUGAAGGUUGGUACUUGUACCAACUGGAUGAGCAGCGAACGGGUGAGUAACGCGUGGGGAAUCUGCCUUUGAGCGGGGGACAACAUUUGGAAACGAAUGCUAAUACCGCAUAAAAACUUUAAACACAAGUUUUAAGUUUGAAAGAUGCAAUUGCAUCACUCAAAGAUGAUCCCGCGUUGUAUUAGCUAGUUGGUGAGGUAAAGGCUCACCAAGGCGAUGAUACAUAGCCGACCUGAGAGGGUGAGCGGCCACAUUGGGACUGAGACACGCCCCAAACUCCUACGGGAGGCAGCAGUAGGGAAUCUUCGGCAAUGGACGAAAGUCUGACCGAGCAACGCCGCGUGAGUGAAGAAGGUUUUCGGAUCGUAAAACUCUGUUGGUAGAGAAGAACGUUGGUGAGAGUGGAAAGCUCAUCAAGUGACGGUAACUACCCAGAAAGGGACGGCUAACUACGUG